rnacentral:sRNA from 1 species
GUAAUGAAGUAACACAUGCAUGUAUUAAUUCACAAAAUUAAUUCCUGAAGAUACCCUACAUUUUCUGUACCUUUAUCUAUAAAGAUGCCUAAUAGAUACCAAUAAAUGUAAGAAUAAGAAUGUACUCGGAAAAGGCACUUGUUAAACCUAUAAAUGAAUGAAUUUCUGAACUGUUUACAAUGUACUUAUAAAUUAAUGUGGGAACUAGAGAGUUGUACUGUAUUUUGUUAAAUUUGUUGAAAAAUUAUAUGUAAAUUGUUAGUGAUGAAUUCUUUUCCUAUGUAUGUUUUAGCACAUUAUUUUUUGAGUAGUUUAAAGUUUUUAGUAUAAUAUAUAAAAAAAAAUUUAAAUAUAAAUUCUUUACAGAGUUUUUUUUGAUUUUGUAAGUUGAUAAUUGUUUGAAAGUAUUUUCUACAUUUUUUCAUGGUUUUGUUGUGGAGCACAAAAGUCUUUCUACCUUCAAGUAAACAUUGUUAUAUUAAAAGAACUGUACCAGGAACACAAAAACAUAUUGAAGUUUGAAAUAGCAUAUCCUUAAAUAAGUCUUUUGGUUUGAUAAUUACUACAAGUGUGCAGCAUUUUGAUGUGAAUCUUGCAUCCACGUGGAGACUUUCUAGUACAAAUGUACUGACACUGGUUACUUCUUUUGACCAGAGACAUUUUUUGUUUGCAAUGCACCUGUAGUGCACUCGCCUGUGUGUGAAAAUCAAUACUUGCAUGUGCAUUUAAUAACAGAAGAUGUACUAGGGCUGAGUUUUAGAAAAGAGCUUGCAUCAAAGUUGUAAAUCUAUUCAGUCUUUAGGAAUUAUCUGAAAUCUAGAUCAUUCUUUUCCAAACCUUUUUAGUCUUAAUUAAUUUGAAUGUUUUAUUGGUAUCAAGUUUAAACAUUUGGUACUUCAGGAAUAAUAAGCAUUUUAUUUUGCAAGUUCUUCUAUAAACCACAUCCAAGAAUUCUUACUGAGCAAGUGCCAUAUAGCGGUUAUUGUUUGUUAGCGACUGUAGAUGGGUAGUUAUACCCCUUAUCACAUAUUCAAAAGAUUUUAAUUUGUUCUAUAUCUAAUUAAUUUGUUGAUCCCAAAGAAUAAAAAAAACUUAUUGUUUACACUAAGAGAAGAUUAUUUUAUCAUUGUUACAUCAUUCCAUUUAUUUGUAUAUGUACAGAUUUUGUUCUGAAUAAGAUGAAAAUAAAGAUUUAUGUAUAAC